rnacentral:misc_RNA from 1 species
UCCGGUUUGUCACCGGCAGUCUACUUAGAGUUCCCGACAUUACUCGCUGGCAACUAAGUACAAGGGUUGCGCUCGUUGCGGGACUUAACCCAACAUCUCGCGACACGAGCUGACGACAGCCAUGCAGCACCUGUCUCCAGGUUCCCGAAGGCACUCCCUCAUCUCUGAAGGAUUCCUGGGAUGUCAAGACCAGGUAAGGUUCUUCGCGUUGCAUCGAAUUAAACCACAUGCUCCACCGCUUGUGCGGGUCCCCGUCAAUUCCUUUGAGUUUUAGCCUUGCGGCCGUACUCCCCAGGCGGGGUACUUAAUGCGUUAGCUUCGGCACAGGAGGAGUCGACACCUCCUACACCUAGUACCCAUCGUUUACGGCGUGGACUAC